AUAAUGCCCACGUGUCCAGGACAGGGCUAGGUGGAGAUAAUUAAAUCAUGGGGGUGGUUAUCCCAUACUGUUCUCAUUGUAGUGAAUAAGUUUCACAAGAUCUGAUGGUAUUACAAUGAGAGUACCCCUGCACAAGCUCUCUUGCCUUCCACCAUGUAAGACGUGACUUUGCUCCUCAUUUGUCUUCUACCAUUACUGUGAGGUCUUUCCAGCCAUGUGCAACUGGGAUGGCUUUGCCAGGAAAAGCCCUUCAAUAGCAGCCUGGCCAAAGAUUCUGGGCAAAUAAGUUGGCUGGGUCCAUGGGCAAUCAAGAUUCUGGGACCUGCAAUCAAACUUGCUGCUGGCGUUUGUAAGUGUGCCUUCUACCAGGGGCUAUGGGCUGGCUGUGAGAUACACAGGCUACCAGCGGGAUGUUACACUCGGUCUACUGACUCACAUGCAUCUUCUCCAAGAACACCCUCACAGACACACCUGGAGAAGCUCAAGCAUUCUAAUCAAAAUGAAAACCACCUGGAAUUCUCUUUCAGCAGAAGAGGAAUGGGUUCCAUUCCUAUUGAAGCAUUGAGAAUAAAUAACCCUUUACCAGCUACCUGAGUAUUCCUUAAUUCAGUCAAGUUUCAUCCAAAAUCAACUGUUGCAACUUAUUCUGAAAUGUUCAACUAGCUUUACAUUCUUUAGAUUAGGUCCUGCUUGUUCAUGAUAUAUUGUACUUUUGUAUAGAGCUAGAUUUUAUUUAAAAUACUGUGAAGUUUGUUUGAGGCUGAGGUGGGAGAAUCAAUGAGCCCAGGAGGUUGAGGGUGUAGUGAGCCGUGAUUGUGCCACUGUGCUAUCCCCUGGUAACAGAGUGAGACCCUGUCUCAAAUACAUAAAUAAACAAACAAACAAAUAAAUAAAUAAAUAAAUAAAAUUUCUACAUUGUAGCAAAAAAACAAAUAGAAAUUGAAAUCCAAAAUUGUAUAUACAAUUUAAAUUUGAAUUAAAAAGCACAAAGUGCUUACAAAUUUUAAUAAUUUUUGUGUAAGACUAGCACACUAAAAAUUAUGAAAUAAUACUGAAAGGGUGAUAUAAAUAAAUGCAGAGAUUUAUGGUGUUUAUGGAUUGAAAGACUCAAUAUCAUUAAGUUGUUCAUUCUCAAGUCAAUCUGUAGAUUCAAGGUAAGCUUAAUUAAAAUCUCAAGAAAAUUUUUGUUGUUCUUGUCUUGUUACAGUUCUUGUUGCUGAAAAUGAGAAAAGACAAAAGCUUGGCAGAAGUUAUUGAUUAUAUUUAAAUCUAUGGUUAAAUUUACAUAAGAAAAGAUUAAAUGGUGGCAUCAUCAAGAUAGCAGAGUAGGUGAUACCAGGCUUUGUCUUCACCACAAAAAAAGAGAGACAGCUGUUCAAAAACCAAAAUAUCCCCAAGAAAGCUCUAGGGCCUGUAGGAUACAGUAAAUUCCUCUUCAAAGAUUUUAGCCUGUUAACUUCCUUUAACAUUCAAGAGGGGUAAAAUCGUUAAGUACAAUGAGUUCUGAAUUCCUCUUCAGAAAACUAAUGUGUCAGUAUGUUUUGCUUCCCUGUUCUUUGCUCUCCAUUUUAAAGUUUAACUUCCUCGUUCUUAGGCCUCCUUGCCCUUACUUUCAGUAAACAACACCCUGCUAGCCUCUAUCACCUGCGCUGUCCUUAGUCAUCCUUAGUCACCUGCUCUGUAACCGUCCUUCCCACUGAAACUACUCAUCCCACCACUCUGGCUCGUACCCCUGCCGUCUUUGAAACAGCCAAUCUGAAUUAGCUUAGACUGUGCAGUCCAACCCUAGCCAAUAGGGGAAAGAAACAGCAGUAGGGAUUAACUGCUUUAGGGAUAAGAAUCCCUUCCCCUCCCUUGUCCAGUGUGCUCUCCCCAUUGCUCCAUCUGCGAGACACACCCUUCUAUAGAAGUAAAUUUGCCGCCGGGCAUGGUGGCUCACGCCUGUAAUCCCAGAACUUUGGGAGGCGGAGGCGGCCGGAUCACAUG
rnacentral:lncRNA from 1 species